rnacentral:rRNA from 1 species
GUAGGUGACAAGCGUUGUCCGGAAUUAUUGGGCGUAAAGCGCGCGCAGGCGGUUCUUUAAGUCUGAUGUGAAAGCCCCCGGCUCAACCGUGGAGGGUCAUUGGAAACUGGAGAACUUGAGUACAGAAGAGGAAAGCGGAAUUCCACGUGUAGCGGUGAAAUGCGUAGAGAUGUGGAGGAACACCAGUGGCGAAGGCGGCUUUCUGGUCUGUAACUGACGCUGAGGCGCGAAAGCGUGGGGAGCAAACAGGGAUUAGAUACCCUGGUAGUCCACGCCGUAAACGAUGAGUGCUAAGUGUUAGGGGGUUUCCGCCCCCUUAGUGCUGCAGCUAACGCAUUAAGCACUCCGCCUGGGGAUACGGCCGCAAGGCUG